GACGAACGCUGGCGGCGUGCUUAACACAUGCAAGUCGAACGGAAAGGCCUGCUUUCCCUUGUGGAUUGCGGGUACUCGAGUGGCGAACGGGUGAGUAACACGUGAGUGAUCUGCCCCCAACUUGGGUAUAAGCCUGGGAAACUGGGUCUAAUUCCCGAUAGGACUGCAGGGUGGUGCCUGUGGUGGAAAACGAUUUUCUAGUGGUUGGGGAUGAGCUCGCGGCCUAUCAGCUUGUUGGUGGGGUAAUGGCCUACCAAGGCGGCGACGGGUAGCCGGCCUGAGAGGGUGGACGGCCACAUUGGGACUGAGAUACGGCCCAGACUCCUACGGGAGGCAGCAGUGGGGAAUAUUGCACAAUGGGCGGAAGCCUGAUGCAGCGACGCCGCGUGGGGGAUGACGGCCUUCGGGUGGUAAACUCCUUUCGACCGCGAGGAAGCCACCUGGUUGGAAGGGUGGUGACGGUAGUGGUAGAAGAAGCACCGGCCAACUACGUG
rnacentral:rRNA from 1 species